rnacentral:rRNA from 1 species
AUUGAACGCUGGCGGCAUGCCUUACACAUGCAAGUCGAACGGCAGCGGGGGAGAAGCUUGCUUUUCCUGCCGGCGAGUGGCGAACGGGUGAGUAAUACAUCGGAACGUGCCCUGUAGUGGGGGAUAACUAGUCGAAAGAUUAGCUAAUACCGCAUACGACCUGAGGGUGAAAGUGGGGGACCGCAAGGCCUCAUGCUAUAGGAGCGGCCGAUGUCUGAUUAGCUAGUUGGUGGGGUAAAGGCCUACCCAGGCGACGGUCAGUAGCUGGUCAGAGAAGACGAUCAGCCACACUGGGACUGAGACACGGCGCAGACUCCUAAGGGAGGCAGCAGUGGGGAAUUUUAGACAAUGGGGGCAACCCUAAUCCAGCCAUGCCGCGUGAGUGAAGAAGGCCUUCGGGUUGUAAAGCUCUUUCGGCCGGGAAGAAAUCGCACGGGCUAAUACCCUGUGUGGAUGACGGUACCGGAAUAAGAAGCACCGGCUAACUACGUGCCAGCCGCCGCAGUAA